AAAUAAACAUUUUUUUGGUAAUAUUAACAUUUUUAAAAAUAGUAAACUUAAAUAAUAAUUUGUUAUACUACGAUUGGUUGUUUAAAUCCUACGUGGACGCUCUCGAUGGCUUAUAGCCUCAACUUUUAUAUAGUAUAGAUUUGGGAAACAAAUGUUACAAGAUAUGUUCGAGAUGAUGAAGAGCUAAAAUGUUUCCAUAGAGAAUAGUGAUUUACGUUUUUCUUUUAUGCCUUUAGUCAAAAAAAAGAAUAGUGAUGGAAAUAAUAAACCCUAGUUCUAACCGUCUCAUGUCCGUUUGUUUGAAUUUCCUCUUUUUUUGUUUUUCUCUCUCUCUUUGUAUUUGUCCUCGUGGAACCCUCCAAUUCACCAUUGACUUAAUCGGCUGGGCCGAGUUGUCAUGGAUAGAGUUGUUUGUAAUUUUGGACUGAGACCAUAAUUAACGGGACGUUCUUACGAUUGGGUUCUUAGCGGAAUAUAAGAACCACAUUUUAAAAAGCUCUUAUUAAUCGCUCUGAGAUAUAUAUUUGACGGACCUUGAUGAGGAGUGUAAUUCCCCUCCAACAAAUAUUAUUUAUAUAUUUUUGAUCUUUUAUUGAACAGAAGUAAAAUAUUUUUUUGGCAACAUAUUAAAUUUAUUAAAAUAAUACUGUUAUUGUAUUUUCUAAUUAUAUUAAUAUAUAUAUAGUAAUUCCACGCAAAGCAUAAAUCACGCGAAGUAUGCAUCACGCAAAAGAAUAUAAUAUUGUUCAUUGACUUGUUCGCACCAGUGGCCACAUCUAUUUUUAUUUUGCAUUGACUAUAAUUCUUAUAUAAGUUAUUUCUGUGUCGACAAAAAAAAAUUAUUACUGCAAAAGAAUACAAUUGCAUACGAGAGUAAAUAAGCAAUACAUUUUGCAACUAAAAAAUAAGGUUUUGAAUCAUGGGAAAAUGUGUUUUAUGUUUUAUAUUGUUUCUUGCAAUUCUCAUUGUGGACUACGUUUGAAGAAGUGGAAGCCGUGAACAAGUUGAGGUGCCCCAUUACUGAUCACCGGUACAAGGGAAAAUGCGGAAAUAAUGGAAAUAGUAUUUGUGCAAGGGAAGUAAAGGAGUUCAUAGCGAAACAGCGAUACGGUGUUAAGCCCGUUCUAGGUGAGAUGCGUUGUAAUUGUACUGACCUUCCAGUCAAGGCAAAUGAGCAAAUCAGACGUACAUGCAGCUGUAGAUAUGAUUGCUAAAUAAAAUACCUACAACCAAUAUAUAUAUAUAUAUAUGUACUAAAAUGAAGGAAAAAGAUUCUGGAGAUUUUAA